UCUGGUGGCAAUAGCGGAGGGGCAACACCCGUUCCCAUCCCGAACACGGCAGUUAAGCCCUCCAGCGCCGAUGGUACUGGUUUUCCGGGAGAGUAGGUCGCUGCCAGAA
rnacentral:rRNA from 2 species